rnacentral:tRNA from 1 species
GACUUUAUAGUCAAUUAUGAUUUUAAAUUGCAAAUUUAAAGGUGAGUAUUUCUAAAGUCU